AAAAAAGAAAUAGAUUCACAAACUUAUAAUUUCUUGAGGAAUAAUAAUGAAUCAAAACACGGACACAUGUACCUUCUUCCAAAAGUUCAUAAAAUUAAUCUAGAAAUUAUUAAUGAGGCAUUCCGAACUGGUCAAAUAGUUGGAAACAUAAACAUUCCUUACCGACCAAUCAUCAAUAAGUGUAACUCUCCCACGAGACGCAUUGAAAGAUUACUGGGUCUAAUCUUAAAACCAUUAUUGAAGAGGCAUAACUUUUACAUUCAAGAUACAAAAGACUUCAUUAAUAAAAUAGAGUCACACGAGGUCACAAAAGAAUGCAUCCUUAUUGCCUAUGAUGUAACGUCGAUGUAGC
rnacentral:lncRNA from 1 species